AUCUUUGCGCUUGGGGCAAUGACGCAGCUAGUGAGGUUCUAACUGAGGCGCGUCUAUUGCUGGUUGAAAACUAUUUCCAAACCCCCUCAUCGGCCUUGGCUUUUGCCAUGGCCGUUGAGAAUUUUUGAAAGGGCUUCCCUUUGAGGUAAAGCC
rnacentral:snRNA from 2 species